rnacentral:rRNA from 1 species
AUACGUAGGGGGCGAGCGUUGUCCGGAAUGAUUGGGCGUAAAGGGCGCGUAGGCGGCCCGGUAAGUCUGGAGUGAAAGUCCUGUUUUUAAGAUGGGAAUUGCUUUGGAUACUGUCGGGCUUGAGUGCAGGAGAGGUAAGUGGAAUUCCCAGUGUAGCGGUGAAAUGCGCAGAGAUUGGGAGGAACACCAGUGGCGAAGGCGACUUACUGGACUGUAACUGACGCUGAGGCGCGAAAGUGUGGGGAGCAAACAGGAUUAGAUACCCUGGUAGUCCACACUGUAAACGAUGAAUGCUAGGUGUAGGGGGUAUCGACCCCUUCUGUGCCGCAGUCAACACAAUAAGCAUUCCGCCUGGGGAGUACGGCCGCAAGGUUGAAACUCAAAUGAAUUGACGGGG